rnacentral:lncRNA from 1 species
CCUCUACAAAACAAAGCGCUCCUUCGUAUGCCCACUUCCCCUCAAACAAUGGGAGACCUUUUACAGCUGAGAAGAACUCAAAAUCCACUUUUAUUCUUACUUUCACUAAUCCUUUAAAAACACAUCUUACCUCCUCCCCAUAUCCCGUUUCUAUCUUAUAUUUCCUACUCAGAAAAAUUGACAUCUUAGCUUGUCCCCCCAAAAAAUUUAACAGUUGACAUUUUCUUUUCUGUUGCUUACUAUAUUGAAACCCCAAAAUAAAAACAGUGUUAUUGAAAAUCUCCCCUACAGCUUUAAACAAAGACUCCAGCAUUUCCAGAAGGUGACUGUUGACCCAGGGUUUAGAGUGUUCCCUCAGCAGUAGAAGGUGACUGUUGACCCAGGGUUUAGAGUAUUCCCUCAGCAGUAGAAGGUGACUGUUGACCCAGGGUUUAGAGUAUUCCCUCAGCAGUAGGUGACUGUUGACCCAGGGUUUAGAGUGUUCCCCUCAGCAGUAGAAGGUGACUGUUGACCCAGGGUUUAGAGUGUUCCCUCAGCAGUAGAAGGUGACUGUUGACCCAGGGUUUAGAGUAUUCCCUCAGCAGUAGGUGACUGUUGACCCAGGGUUUAGAGUAUUCCCUCAGCAGUAGGUGACUGUUGACCCAGGGUUUAGAGUAUUCCCUCAGCAGUAGAAGGUGACUGUUGACCCAGGGUUUAGAGUAUUCCCUCAGCAGUAGAAGGUGACUGUUGACCCAGGGUUUAGAGUAUUCCCUCAGCAGUAGAAGGUGACUGUUGACCCAGGGUUUAGAGUGUUCCCUCAGCAGUAGGUGACUGUUGACCCAGGGUUUAGAGUAUUCCCUCUCAUACACUAUGGCUUUUUUUUAUGUCUCUUGCCCCAUUUACGUUUAAAGAAGAAAUCUUAAAACUGCUCAUGGGUGAUAAAAAAAUACAGAGGAAGACCCAGAAACCACAUCUCUU